UUGUAUACUAGACCGUAUGUUAAUUUUAAAAGCAGACCCAAUAUAUCCCAACUGAUAUUAGGUCAUCAUCUCCCUGGUUUCUUUUACUGUUAGCGGAACCGCCCAACACCGACGACUUGAAAUAAGCUGACGAUAUGUAGGUAAUAUUAUUUCUGUAGGUAAUAUUAUUUCUGUAGGUAAUAUUAUUGAAAGUGGGACGUCGAGGCCGGCUGCUAGAUGUAACAACCCAUUUUCAGGUGAUCAAGUUUGAGCUAAGAUUGUAAAGGACCAGGUAUAAACGGUCAUCUUAAAGCACUACUUUUGCAGGUCUCACAGGGUUGAAGCGCUGCUCAACAUUCUGUCACGGAUUGUAAUGGUUAUUGAUACGUUUCAGCUAGUUUCUUGAAUCUAUGUUUGUUGAUCAAGCUGAUGUGAUUGGUGAUUGAAGAGACAAACGAGGCCACCCAAGAUUUUAAUAAUAUUGAAUGGAAGAGUGGUUCCUCGAGAAUCGUUUCUGAGGAUUCCGGUCAUAAGAUUUAUAUCUAGUUAUUGAUAUGCUAACCACGUGUAUGCGUGUACAUUUAGCUGUGACUAAUGUUCCUUGUGUUGUGAUGUGGGCAAGUUUAUGUGACUGAAAGCUGAUGUGAUCAAGUUUUUAGGAUCGGGUCAACGAGCUUUAAGAUCGUGUGGUUUAGUGUGCAUCAUUUGUUAAGUUCUUUUCGGGGCAAAUACUUGUAUGUUGUGUAUUAGAAUUUAACUCAACAAUCGUUUAGCUAAAUGGUUUUGUGUAAAUGGUGUAUCGAGUCAUGUGAAUUUUUGCGAGUGUCUUGAUUGCUAAUGAACCUACAUCACCGUAAGGAGUAUUUCUA